rnacentral:rRNA from 1 species
UACAGAGGUCUCAAGCGUUGUUCGGAUUCAUUGGGCGUAAAGGGUGCGUAGGUGGCGCGCUAAGUCAGGUGUGAAAUUUCGGAGCUUAACUCCGAAACUGCAUUUGAUACUGGCGUGCUUGAGGACUGGAGAGGAGACUGGAAUUCAUGGUGUAGCAGUGAAAUGCGUAGAGAUGUGGAGGAACACCGAUGGCGAAGGCAGCCCCCUGGGCUAACACUGACGCUCAGGCACGAAAGCGUGGGGAGCAAACAGG